GACGAACGCUGGCGGCGUGCCUAAUACAUGCAAGUCGAGCGAUGAAGACUGGUGCUCCCACCAAUUUGAAGAGCAGCGAACGGGUGAGUAACGCGUGGGGAAUCUGCCUUCUAGCGGGGGCCAACAUUUGGAACCGAAUGCUAUGACCUCAUAAUAACUUUAAACCUACGUUUUAAGUUUGAAAGAUGCAAUUGCUUCACUUAAUGAUGAUCCCGCGUUGUAUUAGCUAGUUGGUUAGGUAAAGGCUCACCAAGCCGAUGAUACGUAGCCGACCGGAGGGGGUGGUGGGCCAACUUGGACAUGAGACACGGGCCAAACUCCUGCGGGAGGCAGCAGUAGGGAAUCGUCGGCAAUGGACGAAGGUCUGACCGGGCAACGCGGCGCGAGUGGAGAAGGUUGUCGGAUCGUAGAACGCAAUUUGUGGAGAAGAGCGUUGGUGACAGUGGAAAGCUCAUCAGGUGACGGUAACUGUCCAGGAAGGGACGGCUAACUACGUG
rnacentral:rRNA from 1 species